rnacentral:lncRNA from 7 species
AUGUUGCAGGAAGAUGAUUGCAGCUCCAGUGAAUUAGGGUUGUUCAGAUUUGUUGGCAGUUCUAAGAUUUCAGACAUGUCAGACAGAGUAUUUUGAAGAUUCUAACAUGUGUAGGUAAGGUGGUAGCUGAGCUUGGAGUGGAAAACUGCUAAUGUUGGUGACAACGUGCACUGGAAUAAAGAACCCAGCUUGACUUUAAGGUUCCAGAUUGUUUACAAUUUUUUGUCUCCAAAUAACAGUUUGUCUUGGCACUUGGAAUUUGCUCAUCUGUGCAGAAAGCUACAACUCUACAAGAAGCCGUUGCUCAACAAGUGUCUCUCUGUCCAUCCUGCAAGUGCAAUGUUUCUGGAGCAGCACUGCCCAGUAAGAAGAAACUGCUUUGCUCUCCUCACAGUUUUGCAGAAGGUGUUAGCAAGAGCAGCAGUUUUCCACUGGGUCUUGCAAGGGGAGCUAUUGAUUAUCCUUACUGCUUAUAGAUGUCUGAUUAAAACAAUUAAAAGCAGUUUUCUCUCAUUGGUUUCUUACUGGAAAUCCACCGUGAACAUUGAGCCUUGGAAGUAAUGUUUCUGCUUUACACUCUGUUUCUAGGGAUCUGUGUGGAAUGGCGCUUAAGCCUGGUUUCUUUCCCAUGAAACUCCUUCUUUUGCAUGGACAUCCCAGAAGAAUAUCACUGAUUUGAAGAAGGAGAAAAAUUACUGUUUGGAUAAUUGUUUUCUCAUAUUUUCAUAUACUUACUACACUGUAGCCAGAGUUAGAAUUGCCACAUGCUUGAUGGGUAGUGACAUCAGGAAUUUGAGAAGAGCAUGUGUUCUCUACUAUCUGAUAUUUCUUCUCAUUUCAUUGGCUUGAUUUCUCACAUGGAUUUUCUAAGUAUGAGUAGGGGCUGUGUUAUCCACUAGGAAGGUAAUGGAGUAGCUGCCCUCCAAACUGAAACACAACUAAGUUCCAGAAGUUCCUACUAAGCACUGAGAACAGCAGGUAGAGUCAAAUCCUGUCUUUGGUUGAAGUCAGAAAAUCUUUGUGGCACGUGAGUUCUUUGAUGCUGUUUUAUUUCAUAAAGAUUUGGAAGGAAAGGAAUCUGUACAUCCUUGUUGGAAGUGGUAGGUAAAAAUAGGUCACGCUUGACUUUUAGAUGCUAUUUGAACUUAAUCUGUAAGGACAUAAGUUCUUGCUUAUAUUGAAUUAUGUUAAAAUACACCGAAGUUUGUGUAUUUUUGAUUAUAGAUAUUCAAAUAAAGUAAAAGGUGCCUGUAGCCUUUGUAUAGCUCUCGACAGCUAUCUAUCUUCCUCAGACAACACAGCAGUGGUCAUAUGUAAUCUUAAUGGUUAGCUCUAAUCUAGGAGGUGACGUUAACUUGUUAUUGAGUGUAAUAGUCAGUUGAUGCUGACACCACCCUAAGUGGCUUGGGGGCAUAGGAAUCACAAGGACAAAAUUCUUGCUUCAGUGUCCAGAACUGGGUUCUGGAAAGCUACAUGGAUGGCAGUAUUCAGGAUUCUUGAUUAGUAGCACAUUGUAUGCUCGGUGGCUUCUGACUUGUAUUUAAAUGUGUAUGUACUCUUUGGCGCAUGUAUGUGCAUGGAUAAAUAUACAUGGAUACACCUUUUUUCUCCACAGCCUAUCCUGUGUCGAAUGGAUGUUUUUUUGUCUCAUUUUUCUUUGUUUUGCUACACAGUUCAUUCUGAGGUAUGUUUUCUUAGGGGAGUUCAAAAUGAGCUUCCUGACACAUGUAUUCUUUAGCUAAUUCUGAACAUGACAUGAAAAGGAAUCUUUUUCUUCUACAGUAAAUAUUUUUGUAAUACAGCAUGCUUUUUUAAUGUAAGUAGGUUUCUGAGAUACCGUGCAAAAUGGGACCCAAUUUUAUUAGAGUAGCCUAAAGAACGGAAUAAAUCCUUUAAGCCAAUUGUAUAAAAAUGCAAAUUUAAGUCAAGCAAUUAAAAACAGAUAGAAAUUAGAGAUUUGGAUUUUGCAGAACAAGCUUUCCGCAGCCACCGCCAGAUUACUAUGCAAUUUAUCUGGAUUCUGUCAGCGAUAGUCAGACUAGAUUUUGAUAAAGAGCAGCAAAUCUGUCCCUCCGUAGCUCCUGUGACUUGCUGCAAAUUUCAUUCAAGUUGAAGCGUCGGUACAAUCCCUUGAAUAAUUUGGAGUUAAUCAUUUGUACUUCACAGCCUCUGAUAGGCCUUAGACUUGGGGGUGGGAACAGAUUUGGCUUUUUAAUCGCCCUGUAUAUUGUACAGCGUGAGAUAAAUGACACCGACUGUCUGAAAUCUACAUUCUUGCUUCUGAUGCAAAACUGUAAUUAAUUUUGUGCAGUGUUUCAGAAUUGAUCGCGGUCACUUGAAUUUCUAAUUUUUCAUUCACUUCAAAGACCUUUUUUAAAAAGAAUGUGCUUAGAGUGUGUGAAUGCUCUCUGAUGCUCGUGUACUAAAUGACUAUUUUACGCCUCUUUUUCAAUAAGGUGAAACAGAGGUCAAGGCGUGUGGCUCGUGUUUAUCUCUGUCCCAGCCUGCUUCAGGAUAUAUUUCCUGACUUAUAGGAAAUACAAUCAAACUUAUGAAAUUACAUCUAAAUACUUAAACUGCGCCGUUGUUCACUUCGGCGCCUUGUAGAAAUCCAAAAGGCUUCUUUCAGAAAUCCUUUUCAGCAUAAAAGAAUUAAGCACAAUUUAGACAAUAAUUACCCUAAUUAACUGCACUAUAAUGUUUGUAUUCAGGAUUAUAGAAACAUUGUAUCUGCUCUGUACCGCAGUAAUAACAAGUCUCCCUAAUUUCUCUGUAUUGAUAGUACUUGUAUGUGCCUCUUUGUUUGGUAUAUUUCACUGUAAAAAUAUUUGUCAGUGAAAGAUUGAACAAUAUGAAUGAAUUUGAUUAUGCCAUUGUCAAAAACCCCAUGCAUCACAAUUUCUUGUUUUUAAUCACUACUGUAAACCUCACAGCCUGAGGGCAUAGUUUUAAUUUGGGUGCCUUACUAAUGAAAAGAAAAAAAUAAUUGUUUUGCCUGGAUUUAAUAAUAAGCAAUAAAAUCAGCCAAC